rnacentral:tRNA from 1 species
CGCACUUGUAAUGCGAUGGUCAUCGGUUCGACUCCGAUAGCGGGCU